rfam:Aedes aegypti strain Liverpool supercont1.302 genomic scaffold, whole genome shotgun sequence.
AGCUCGAUAGCUAAGUUGGUAAAGCGCUCGUCUAGCACAUAAGAGUCGUGAGUUUGAAUCCCACCUGAGCAC